UACCGAGGGUGCGAGCGUUAAUCGGAAUUACUGGGCGUAAAGCGCGCGUAGGCGGCUUUGCAAGUCGGGUGUGAAAUCCCCAGGCUUAACCUGGGAACUGCAUUCGAGACUGCAUUGCUAGAGUAUGGGAGAGGGAAGUGGAAUUUCCGGUGUAGCGGUGAAAUGCGUAGAUAUGCGGAGGAACACCAGUGGCGAAGGCGGUUGCCUGGAGCUUUGCUGACGCUGAUGCGCGAAAGCGUGGGGAGCGAUCCGG
rnacentral:rRNA from 1 species